ACCUCUCCGGUGGCCUAGUGUUUAGAGCGUCCGCCUCGGAUGCAGGAGGUCGCGGGCUCGAACCCCGGCCGAGUCA